rnacentral:rRNA from 1 species
GGGUUGUGAGGUUAAGCGACUAAGCGUACACGGUGGAUGCCCUGGCAGUCAGAGGCGAUGAAGGACGUGCUAAUCUGCGAUAAGCGUCGGUAAGGUGAUAUGAACCGUUAUAACCGGCGAUUUCCGAAUGGGGAAACCCAGUGUGUUUCGACACACUAUCAUUAACUGAAUCCAUAGGUUAAUGAGGCGAACCGGGGGAACUGAAACAUCUAAGUACCCCGAGGAAAAGAAAUCAACCGAGAUUCCCCCAGUAGCGGCGAGCGAACGGGGAGCAGCCCAGAGCCUGAAUCAGUGUGUGUGUUAGUGGAAGCGUCUGGAAAGGCGCGCGAUACAGGGUGACAGCCCCGUACACAAAAAUGCACAUACUGUGAGCUCGAUGAGUAGGGCGGGACACGUGGUAUCCUGUCUGAAUAUGGGGGGACCAUCCUCCAAGGCUAAAUACUCCUGACUGACCGAUAGUGAACCAGUACCGUGAGGGAAAGGCGAAAAGAACCCCGGCGAGGGGAGUGAAAAAGAACCUGAAACCGUGUACGUACAAGCAGUGGGAGCACAGAGCAAUCUGUGUGACUGCGUACCUUUUGUAUAAUGGGUCAGCGACUUAUAUUCUGUAGCAAGGUUAACCGAAUAGGGGAGCCGAAGGGAAACCGAGUCUUAACUGGGCGUUAAGUUGCAGGGUAUAGACCCGAAACCCGGUGAUCUAGCCAUGGGCAGGUUGAAGGUUGGGUAACACUAACUGGAGGACCGAACCGACUAAUGUUGAAAAAUUAGCGGAUGACUUGUGGCUGGGGGUGAAAGGCCAAUCAAACCGGGAGAUAGCUGGUUCUCCCCGAAAGCUAUUUAGGUAGCGCCUCGUGAAUUCAUCUCCGGGGGUAGAGCACUGUUUCGGCAAGGGGGUCAUCCCGACUUACCAACCCGAUGCAAACUGCGAAUACCGGAGAAUGUUAUCACGGGAGACACACGGCGGGUGCUAACGUCCGUCGUGAAGAGGGAAACAACCCAGACCGCCAGCUAAGGUCCCAAAGUCAUGGUUAAGUGGGAAACGAUGUGGGAAGGCCCAGACAGCCAGGAUGUUGGCUUAGAAGCAGCCAUCAUUUAAAGAAAGCGUAAUAGCUCACUGGUCGAGUCGGCCUGCGCGGAAGAUGUAACGGGGCUAAACCAUGCACCGAAGCUGCGGCAGCGACGCUUAUGCGUUGUUGGGUAGGGGAGCGUUCUGUAAGCCUGCGAAGGUGUGCUGUGAGGCAUGCUGGAGGUAUCAGAAGUGCGAAUGCUGACAUAAGUAACGAUAAAGCGGGUGAAAAGCCCGCUCGCCGGAAGACCAAGGGUUCCUGUCCAACGUUAAUCGGGGCAGGGUGAGUCGACCCCUAAGGCGAGGCCGAAAGGCGUAGUCGAUGGGAAACAGGUUAAUAUUCCUGUACUUGGUGUUACUGCGAAGGGGGACGGAGAAGGCUAUGUUGGCCGGGCGACGGUUGUCCCGGUUUAAGCGUGUAGGCUGGUUUUCCAGGCAAAUCCGGAAAAUCAAGGCUGAGGCGUGAUGACGAGGCACUACGGUGCUGAAGCAACAAAUGCCCUGCUUCCAGGAAAAGCCUCUAAGCAUCAGGUAACAUCAAAUCGUACCCCAAACCGACACAGGUGGUCAGGUAGAGAAUACCAAGGCGCUUGAGAGAACUCGGGUGAAGGAACUAGGCAAAAUGGUGCCGUAACUUCGGGAGAAGGCACGCUGAUAUGUAGGUGAAGUCCCUCGCGGAUGGAGCUGAAAUCAGUCGAAGAUACCAGCUGGCUGCAACUGUUUAUUAAAAACACAGCACUGUGCAAACACGAAAGUGGACGUAUACGGUGUGACGCCUGCCCGGUGCCGGAAGGUUAAUUGAUGGGGUCAGCGCAAGCGAAGCUCUUGAUCGAAGCCCCGGUAAACGGCGGCCGUAACUAUAACGGUCCUAAGGUAGCGAAAUUCCUUGUCGGGUAAGUUCCGACCUGCACGAAUGGCGUAAUGAUGGCCAGGCUGUCUCCACCCGAGACUCAGUGAAAUUGAACUCGCUGUGAAGAUGCAGUGUACCCGCGGCAAGACGGAAAGACCCCGUGAACCUUUACUAUAGCUUGACACUGAACAUUGAGCCUUGAUGUGUAGGAUAGGUGGGAGGCUUUGAAGUGUGGACGCCAGUCUGCAUGGAGCCGACCUUGAAAUACCACCCUUUAAUGUUUGAUGUUCUAACGUUGACCCGUAAUCCGGGUUGCGGACAGUGUCUGGUGGGUAGUUUGACUGGGGCGGUCUCCUCCUAAAGAGUAACGGAGGAGCACGAAGGUUGGCUAAUCCUGGUCGGACAUCAGGAGGUUAGUGCAAUGGCAUAAGCCAGCUUGACUGCGAGCGUGACGGCGCGAGCAGGUGCGAAAGCAGGUCAUAGUGAUCCGGUGGUUCUGAAUGGAAGGGCCAUCGCUCAACGGAUAAAAGGUACUCCGGGGAUAACAGGCUGAUACCGCCCAAGAGUUCAUAUCGACGGCGGUGUUUGGCACCUCGAUGUCGGCUCAUCACAUCCUGGGGCUGAAGUAGGUCCCAAGGGUAUGGCUGUUCGCCAUUUAAAGUGGUACGCGAGCUGGGUUUAGAACGUCGUGAGACAGUUCGGUCCCUAUCUGCCGUGGGCGCUGGAGAAUUGAGGGGGGCUGCUCCUAGUACGAGAGGACCGGAGUGGACGCAUCACUGGUGUUCGGGUUGUCAUGCCAAUGGCACUGCCCGGUAGCUAAAUGCGGAAGAGAUAAGUGCUGAAAGCAUCUAAGCACGAAACUUGCCCCGAGAUGAGUUCUCCCUGACUCCUUGAGAGUCCUGAAGGAACGUUGAAGACGACGACGUUGAUAGGCCGGGUGUGUAAGCGCAGCGAUGCGUUGAGCUAACCGGUACUAAUGAACCGUGAGGCUUAACCUUACAACGCCGAAGGUGUUU